rnacentral:rRNA from 1 species
UUUUCAGAGAUGAGAAUGUGCCUUCGGGAACCGUGAGACAGGUGCUGCAUGGCUGUCGUCAGCUCGUGUUGUGAAAUGUUGGGUUAAGUCCCGCAACGAGCGCAACCCUUAUCCUUUGUUGCCAGCGAUUAGGUCGGGAACUCAAAGGAGACUGCCAGUGAUAAACUGGAGGAAGGUGGGGAUGACGUCAAGUCAUCAUGGCCCUUACGACCAGGGCUACACACGUGCUACAAUGGCGCAUACAAAGAGAAGCGA